CAUUGACAAAUCUAUUUUAAAAAUAUUGACAUUGGUUCAGAGUAAAAUUUGGACCUAAUGUAAUAUUAACCCGGAGCCUGUUUGGCUCUGGCAAUUUUCAUUGGUAUGGGAGUAGUAGUAAUACUGCUUUCCCGCUCAUGAAGAUUGUCAAUUGAGCUACUGAGGUGAAAUAUAUUCAGUAGCACAUAAACUCGAUUGUAUUGUUUGACAGUGUAUUAUUUAAUUGCAUUUUGAACGCAGUUUUGUGUUUAAUCUGUGGCUUAAAUAUUAUUGAAAAAUUUAUACAACUUUUAACAAUGGAUCUCUUGGCUCUUGCAACGAUGAAGAACGCAGUGAAAUGCGAUACGUAAUGUGAAUUGCAUCACUUUGUGAAUCAUCAAAUCUUUGAACGCAACUGGCACUCUUUGGCUUGCUAAAGAGUAUACCUGUUUGAGAAUCAUAAACAUCAACUUGACUUGAGUUCGAGUCAGAAUUGAGAUUUCAUUUGUGUUUAGCAGAUGAAUCUUGAAUUAUAUAAGAAUUCAGGUUUCGGUGUGACCGAAUAUGCUGAACAUUGUGGGAUACGAAACUGUAGAAAGCUUUUCUACGGAUCGAAUUUCAUCAUCACAAUGAGUUCAGUAUGAAUGGUGUGACCGGAGCAAUUUAAACUGAAUACUUCAACGAUAUUUAUCACUUGAAAUAUUUAUAUUUCAAUAUUUGAUCUCAAAUCAGGCAAGACUACCCGCUGAACUUAA
rnacentral:rRNA from 1 species